AACGAGCGCUGGCGGCAUGCCUAACACAUGCAAGUCGAACGAGACCUUCGGGUCUAGUGGCGCACGGGUGCGUAACGCGUGGGAACCUGCCCUUAGGUUCGGAAUAACUCCCCGAAAGGGGUGCUAAUACCGGAUAAUGUCUUCGGACCAAAGAUUCAUCGCCUUUGGAUGGGCCCGCGUUGGAUUAGCUAGUUGGUAGGGUAAAAGCCUACCAAGGCGACGAUCCAUAGCUGGUCUGAGAGGAUGAUCAGUCACACUGGGACUGAGACACGGCCCAGACUCCUACGGGAGGCAGCAGUAGGGAAUAUUGGGCAAUGGGCGAAAGCCUGAUCCAGCGAUGCCGCGUGAGUGAUGAAGGCCUUAGGGUUGUAAAGCUCUUUUACCCGGGAUGAUAAUGACAGUACCGGGAGAAUAAGCGCCGGCUAGCUCCGUG
rnacentral:rRNA from 1 species